CACGUAGGGCGCAAGCGUUGUCCGGAAUUAUUGGGCGUAAAGCGCGCGCAGGCGGUCCUUUAAGUCUGAUGUGAAAGCCCACGGCUCAACCGUGGAGGGUCAUUGGAAACUGGAGGACUUGAGUGCAGAAGAGAAGAGUGGAAUUCCACGUGUAGCGGUGAAAUGCGUAGAGAUGUGGAGGAACACCAGUGGCGAAGGCGACUCUUUGGUCUGUAACUGACGCUGAGGCGCGAAAGCGUGGGGAGCAAACAGG
rnacentral:rRNA from 1 species